AUUGAACGCUGGCGGCAGGCCUAACACAUGCAAGUCGAGCGAGCGGCGGACGGGUGAGUAAUGUAUGGGGCUCUGCACGAUAGAGGGGGAUAACUACUGGAACCGGUGGCUACUACCGCAUACUAUCGGAUGAACCCAAAUGGGAUUAGCUAGUGGGUGGGGUAAAGGCUCACCCAGGCGACGAACCCUAGCUGGUCUGAGAGGAUGAUCAGCCACACUGGAACUGAGACACGGUCCAGACUCCUACGGGAGGCAGCAGUGGGGAAUAUUGGACAAUGGGCGCAAGCCUGAUCCAGCCAUGCCGCGUGUAUGAAGAAGGCCUUAGGGUUGUAAAGUACUUUAAGCGGGGAGGCGUUACCCGCAGAAGAAGCACCGGCUAACUCCGUGCCAGCAGCCGCGGUAAUUC
rnacentral:rRNA from 1 species